rnacentral:lncRNA from 1 species
AAAUUUUGUUUGCAGACUCAGCACAAGAUUGAAAUGGACAAGCGAGAUGGGAAAUUUGGACCCCAACCAGCAAUGGCAGUGCCCCCUGUUCAGCAGAUGUCACGCAUUGAUCAACAAGUUCCUCCUUCUGUUGGGUACGCACCACAACCUGGAUAUGCACCACAACCGGGAUAUGCACCACAACCGGCUUACGGACAGCCCUAUGGUUAUCCACCUGCCGCACCACCCUCUCAAGGAUAUCCAGCUCCUGGAUACCCCCCAGCUGCUUAUCCCCCUUCGUCCUAUCCUCCACCAGGGUACCCCCCAUCUGGCUACCCUAAGUGAUUACUUUAGCAUGC